rnacentral:rRNA from 1 species
UACGAAGGGUGCAAGCGUUAUUCGGAAUCAUUGGGCGUAAAGCGCGCGCAGGCGGAUUGACAAGUCAGGUGUGAAAUCUCGGGGCUCAACCUCGAAACUGCGCCUGAAACUGUUAGUCUAGAGUGUCGGAGGGGGGUAGGGGGAAUUUCACGUGUAGGGGUAAAAUCCGUAGAGAUGUGAAGGAACACCGGGGGCGAAGGCGCCUACCUGGACGACUACUGACGCUGAGGCGCGAAAGCGUGGGGAGCAAACAGG